rnacentral:rRNA from 1 species
AUUGAACGCUAGCGGGAUGCUUUACACAUGCGAGUCGAACGGCAGCGCGGACUUCGGUCUGGCGGCGAGUGGCGAACGGGUGAGUAAUGUAUCGGAACGUGCCCAGUAGCGGGGGAUAACUACGCGAAAGCGUAGCUAAUACCGCAUACGCCCUACGGGGGAAAGCAGGGGAUCGUAAGACCUUGCACUAUUGGAGCGGCCGAUAUCGGAUUAGCUAGUUGGUGAGGUAACGGCUCACCAAGGCGACGAUCCGUAGCUGGUUUGAGAGGACGACCAGCCACACUGGGACUGAGACACGGCCCAGACUCCUACGGGAGGCAGCAGUGGGGAAUUUUGGACAAUGGGGGCAACCCUGAUCCAGCCAUCCCGCGUGUGCGAUGAAGGCCUUCGGGUUGUAAAGCACUUUUGGCGGGAAAGAAACGUCGCGGGCUAAUACCCCGUGGAACUGACGGUACCUGCAGAAUAAGCACCGGCUAACUACGUG